rnacentral:lncRNA from 1 species
CUAAAUCUAUUAUCUGUUAAACGAAAUCUACCAAGUUGGAGAAGGAAAGCGACAGAGAGAAAGAAAAUGAGUUAUGCUACUCGAGUUUCGAGAGCGAGUAAUCAUCGAAGCAAUCCAAUUCACAGCCAGAGUAGAUUAGAAGGGAGUGAAUCAUAUUGUAUUUGUGGGUCGAAGGCUCGUUGAAUUUCUUAGAGCGAGAAGAACAUAGGUAGAAGAGUUUAUUCCUGCAGAUUCUUAAAGCUAAAUGUGAAUUUGUUCUUUUUGUUAAUCAACUUCUUUUGUCAUUGAUUCAACAAUAAGCAUAAUUCCAUACCCUUUUCAAUCUUCUUAAUCUUCCUUUUGUUAUUAAACAUUUAUUUAAAAAAUUUUGUGAUUUUCCAGCUAAAGGAAUGUGACUUGUUUGAAUGACAUGACCCAAAAAUAGACCCAGAGAGCUACAUAUAUGAUUAACCAGCUGAGUUCCAAUCAAAUCUAGAUCCUCCAUUCCCUAAGAACGAAGGUCUACCAUGCAGCAGAAGUUUGUUAUGUAAUCCUAAUUCAAGACCAUGGACAGGGAGAUGGAAUCACUGACAAUGGACGUAAGAGAACAAAAAGGAGUAUAAAAGGGCAAAGAAAAGGGAGUUCUGAUUGGUGUUUGCUUUGUGUUUUACAUUAGCUGUGUUGAUAAUCAUUUUGUUGUAUUGAAGCUUUUGUCUUUAGGAAUGUUAACAAAAUAUUGUAGUUAACAAAAAAUAAGCUUUUGUGGUAAGUUAACAAGAUUAGCUUUCAAUCGCUUAGGUUUAAGUUUGCUUUUCACGCA